UAAACAGUCAGGCAAGACCCAACCAGUAGCUCCAUGCCCUCAGGUGCCAGGUGGGCAGCAGGGGCAAUCUCCCUGAGCUACCUGCAGGCAACCAUGCCAUCCAUACUGCCAAGGAGAAAACCACCUCAGCUGGGAGAACACAGUCUGUCCUGCUCCAAUGGCUUGCAGGAUGCAGGUGGCAGGCAAUGGGCAAGCACUAAUCCUCCAGGACAUGUAUACCCAGAAGCAAGGGGAAGAGGCUCUUCUAUGACACACUAAUUCUAUACUUCCCCUACAGAAACAACCCACGGUCGACCUUUUGGUCACUAGACGUUCAUCUUUAUUCACCAACAUUUAAAGGUCCCCAAAUCCCUCUCAGGAGGUCCAUGGCAUCAUGAGAACCAGCCUGUCCUGCACGACCGCCCUGAACCAGGGCCUGCCGAUAUCUUCCAGCUACAUCUGCUGCAACUGCUCUUCUCCAGCUGAGACAGCCGCGGCCUUACCCUGCCAGGCUUUGCAGGAACCAGCUUGGCAAGCAGCAGCCUCUAAGGACACCGGCAGAAAAUGGAGGCAGGAGAUAUAAAUCCAGGACAAGGAAAUAAAGCGACGAUGCCGUCACUUGUGCCGGCGUUCAGCUUGAUGGGAGCACAAA